rnacentral:lncRNA from 1 species
UAGAGAGUGGACCAGAAUUCUCAGCUGAGAUGACACAACCUUCUCUGGAGGGAUUCCCUCUCCUCCACCGCUGACAGCCAAGACCUCAGAACACCUCACAAACCAGGACCUUCACUUUGGACGGCGCAAGGGAACUCGGCGCUCACUUCUCCCUGGCUAGGAAAAGACCGU